rnacentral:lncRNA from 1 species
UACAAUUUCAUUUAUAUGAGUUGUGUAUAUAAAUCACAGUGCUUGGUGCAUAGUAACCACUCAAUAAAUGUUAGCUAUUAUUUACAUUACCUCUUUUUCAACCUAUUUUCAUUUUAAUGAAGUAAAUAAAAGUAUUGAAUUGAAUCCUGUGUUUCUGGUAAACAAAAAAAGGGAAACAAUGUGUUAGAGAGUUUGUAUCUGAACCAUUUUGCAACAGUCAACAGAGACCUGAGUUGUAAAAAACUCCAGUUGAUACAAAAUAAACUACGAAAGUGGCUUUAACAUAUCUGAACACACAAUAGCUAAGACCCAAACUGGGAUUAGAUACCCCACUAUGCUUAGCCCUAAACCUCAACAGUUAAAUCAACAAAACUGCUCGCCAGAACACUACGAGCCACAGCUUAAAACUCAAAGGACCUGGCGGUGCUUCAUAUCCCUCUAGAGGAGCCUUGAGACUCCAAAAAAAAAAAAAAAACAA